UACGGAGGGUGCAAGCGUUAUCCGGAUUUACUGGGUUUAAAGGGUGCGCAGGCGGAUAUGUAAGUCAGUGGUGAAAUCUCUGGGCUUAACCCGGAAAUUGCCGUUGAUACUAUAUAUCUUGAAUGCUGUGGAGGUAAGCAGAAUAUGUCAUGUAGCGGUGAAAUGCUUAGAGAUGACAUAGAAUACCUAUUGCGAAGGCAGCUUACUACGCAGAUAUUGACGCUCAUGCACGAAAGCGUGGGGAUCAAACAGGA
rnacentral:rRNA from 1 species